rnacentral:rRNA from 1 species
UACGUAGGGGGCAAGCGUUGUCCGGAAUUAUUGGGCGUAAAGAGCGUGUAGGCGGCCAGACAGGUCUGCUGUGAAAACUCGAGGCUCAACCUCGAGACGCCGGUGGAAACCGUCUGGCUAGAGUCCGGAAGAGGAGAGUGGAAUUCCUGGUGUAGCGGUGAAAUGCGCAGAUAUCAGGAAGAACACCCGUGGCUAAGGCGGCUCUCUAGUACGGUACUGACGCUGAGACGCGAAAGCGUGGGGAGCGAACAGG